CCUAGGGGGGGCAGCAGUGGGGAAUAUUGGACAAUGGGCGAAAGCCUGAUCCAGCCAUGCCGCGUGUGUGAAGAAGGCCUUCGGGUUGUAAAGCACUUUCAGUGGGGAAGAAAGCCUUGGGGCUAAUACCCUCGAGGAAGGACAUCACCCACAGAAGAAGCACCGGCUAACUCCGUGCCAGCAGCCGCGGUAAUACGGAGGGUGCGAGCGUUAAUCGGAAUUACUGGGCGUAAAGCGCGCGUAGGCGGUCUGAUAAGCCGGUUGUGAAAGCCCCGGGCUCAACCUGGGAACGGCAUCCGGAACUGUCAGGCUAGAGUGCAGGAGAGGAAGGUAGAAUUCCCGGUGUAGCGGUGAAAUGCGUAGAGAUCGGGAGGAAUACCAGUGGCGAAGGCGGCCUUCUGGACUGACACUGACGCUGAGGUGCGAAAGCGUGGGUAGCAAACAGGAUUAGAUACCCUAGUAGUC
rnacentral:rRNA from 1 species